rnacentral:misc_RNA from 1 species
UGUUCGUUUUUGGCUUGUGAAGGAGUUUGAGUUCACAGUCACAUUCUUGAAAGAUGGAUUUCUCGUUGACCUAGUGGUCGAGGAAGCAGGACGAGUUCUUAAGCUCGACUCACUCAGCAGAACUGAGCAGUGGAAAGGAGUUGAUGUCUUAAUCUUCAACAGCUACCAUUGGUGGAUACAUACUGGACGCCUGCAAACUUGGGACUAUUUUCAA